rnacentral:rRNA from 1 species
GACGAACGCUGGCGGCGUGCCUAAUACAUGCAAGUAGAACGCUGAAGGAGGAGCUUGCUUCUCUGGAUGAGUUGCGAACGGGUGAGUAACGCGUAGGUAACCUGCCUGGUAGCGGGGGAUAACUAUUGGAAACGAUAGCUAAUACCGCAUAAGAGUAGAUGUUGCAUGACAUUUGCUUAAAAGGUGCAAUUGCAUCACUACCAGAUGGACCUGCGUUGUAUUAGCUAGUUGGUGGGGUAACGGCUCACCAAGGCGACGAUACAUAGCCGACCUGAGAGGGGGGGCGGCCACACUGGGAAUGAGACACGGCCCAGACUCCUACGGGAGGCAGCAGUAGGGAAUCUUUGGCAAUGGACGGAAGUCUGACCGAGAAACGCCGCGUGAGUGAAGAAGGGUUUCGGAUCGGAAAGCUCUGUUGUAAGAGAAGAAAGAGUGUGAGAGUGGAAAGUUCACACUGUGACGGUAUCUUACCAGAAAGGGACGGCUAACUACGUG